CAACCACAUAAAAACCAUUUCCAUAAGCCUAAAAAAAACCGAACCCGAACAUGUCGAAGGUUUACUUCACAGUAAUCUUGUUCGCGCUCUUGAUCACAAUGUCUCACGUGACAUGCACGAGAGAGAUGGGAGACUCGGGAGAGGACAAGUCGAGGAAGGUGCCGUGCACUUCGGACAGCGACUGUGGAUUGAUGAGAUGCUUCGUAGGUGUGCCUAAAUGCGUUAGUGGCGUUUGCCAUUGUCGCUUCAAACCUACUAAUGCCCCCGAAGCAAUCUGAGACCGUUUUAGCAUUUUGUUGUUCUGAAUUAAUAAAUAAAUAAAUCAAUCAAUCUUGACAAAGUUUCUUUUAUGUCUCA